CGCAAAGAUAAAAACGCAACGUAAGGGCAAAAUCUCUUACAGAGCCGGAAGGUAGCCCGGCCGCACCGUAUGGUGUAAGUAACCCUCCCUCCUUAGGGUCGUCCGUUCUUUGUUCAU
rnacentral:ncRNA from 1 species